CAUGAUGAACGGAAACUGAUAACAAAAAUUCGUUAUGCAUGCGUACGGAAAUGGCAAAAGGGUCGUUCACCUAUUAAUAAUAGUAUAAAUGAUAUUUUCAAGUGAUAACCAGCAGUUUCUUAUCUUAGUUCGACUUCAACUGCUCAUAGAACUGCGUUUAUUUCAUCAACCAGUGUUAAGAUCUAUCAAAACGUUGAUCAUGAAGGGUUAUAUAGUUUCGAUAUUGUUUAUUCUAAUAGACACGGCAUCAACAGCCACGUCAUCGCCUAAACUUGCCAAAAUAUCCACUUUGAUGGAUUUAACUGUAGCCUUUGAUAUUGCUGAUUUAGAUGAUGAUGGUGUAAGAGAAUUUGCAGAAGAUAGAGAUCACAUUGUCAGAGCAGACUUCAAUGGUGAUGGGGAGGUAAGUCAGGCGGAAAUGGUCGGUGAUCCAGCUGGGGAAGAUAUUCCAUCACCGCUUCGUAACAUGUAUGAUAUCAAUGGUGACGGGAAGUUAACAAUGGCCGACAGCGAACUCUUCUAUUUUGAGCUUGGACGAGGAUAUGGAAACGACAUAGAUCUGGGAGAACAUUUGGAAUAUUUCCUCUCCAAGAUAGAAUCAUCAGAAAGUGGCAUCACGGUUAAAGCUUUUGUUAGAGCCAGAAAUAAUUACUUGGUCAUGGAUAUCGAUGAUAAUUUGAAAGUCUCUGAACAAGAAUUCAGAUCGGAAUUUCGUGUGGCAGAUUACGACAAGAACGGUAAUCUUACAACCAUAGAAUUGAGUGGUUUCAGACCCAUUCGUAACGUCAAUGUAACUGAUUAUUGCACUAAUGCCGAUGUUGGCUGUCCAGUAGAAAAUUUUCUGGUUAUGUUUAACGAAGCGGAUACCGACAAUGAUAAGUUCUUAACUAUGAAAGAAUAUCUUACAAAAUUCGGGGAGUUGACGACCAGCACAUAGAUAUAUACAUGCACGAGCAUUUAUACGCUGAGAGGCCUACCUGUUGAACACCUGUAGUUUAACUCUGAAUAAAUCCUUCUCUCUCA